UUGACCAGAAAAAAAAAUAAUAGGCUGUGUUUUCAUGGAAAAUUUUAGGUCAUCCAGCUGAAACAGAUGGAGGCCAUUUUAGAUGCCUGUUUGUAUUUUGAUUUUCAGCUCUUUUGAGAAGACGCAAAUGUUUGGGCAGUUUUGCUCGGGCUGCAUAAUUUUUAUGACCAAUUAUUCCAUUUGUAACGACGCUGAGAUAACAGAGAUCCCAUCUUACGCUCCAUGGAACACGCCAAGCACUCAUGGGAGCUCAGCGACAUCAUCUCUUCCUCAACAACUGGACAGCUAGAGUGUUUCCACCAAACUCAGUGCUACCAAGAGAGAGA